rnacentral:rRNA from 1 species
AGGGAAGCAACAUCGCGAGGUGAAGCAAAUCCCAAAAAAGUAGUCUCAGUUCAGAUUGUAGGCUGCAACUCGCCUACAUGAAGUCGGAAUUGCUAGUAAUCGCGGAUCAGCAUGCCGCGGUGAAUACGUUCCCGGGCCUUGUACACACCGCCCGUCACACCAUGAGAGCCGGUAACACCCGAAGUCAGUAGCCUAACCGCAAGGGGGGCGCUGCCGAAGGUGGGAUUGGUAAUUGGGGUGAAGUCGUAACAAGGUAAC